ACAGCAAUGGCUCUUCUAGCACUUGUGUUUGAGCAGCUGCAUAAGAGUGUCUUUCUUCUUCCUCUUCUCGUCCUUUCUGCGUUCAUUCUCUUUUCGUUUACUAGAUCAUCGUCCAAUGGCGACGAGAAACGCAAACUCAAGUUACCACCUUCCCCACCAAGGUUGCCAUUGAUCGGAAACCUUCACCAGUUAGGCACAUUCCCGCACCUUUCUCUCCAUGCUCUCUCGAAAAAGUAUGGCGAUUUAAUGCUAGUUCAUUUCGGGAAAGUUCCGACUCUGAUUGUUUCGUCUGCAGAGAUGGCCAAGGAGGUGAUGAAGACGCAGGACAUUGCUUUCUGCAGCCGGCCGAAAGCCACUGCUCCAGGAAUAUUGUUCUAUGACGCUCAUGAUGUGGCGUUUGCUCCUUACGGGGAGUACUGGAGGCAAGUUCGGAAAAUCUGUGUUCUUGAGCUUCUCAGUCUUAAGAGGGUUUCACAGUUUCAGUACGCAAGGGUUGAAGAAGUUUCCGAGUUGGUCGGAAAGAUUCGCAAAGCGUCGAGUCUCAAUGGCGGGGGUCCUAUUGUUCUGAGUGAUCUGCUGGUGGCAACCUCCAACAACAUCAUCUGCAGGUGUAUUCUCGGACAAAAGUUUGAGGGCGAAGAGAACAAGUGGUUCGGAGAUGUGGCGAAAGAUUUGAUGUGCCAACUCAUGAGUUUCAGUUUUACGGAUUACUUUGGUCCGAGGAUGAGUUGGCUCGACCGUGCUAGAGGCCACAUUAAACAUUUGACAUCAAUUUGGUCCGAAUUUGAUAAGUUCUUCGAUAAGUUGAUUGCCGAACAUAAGGAGGCAGAGAAAGAAGGCAAGCCUCGCAAGAAGGAUUUCGUGGAUAUUCUCCUCCAAGUUCAAAAGGAUGGCAAUGACUUUGAGCUCAAAAGUGACCACCUCAAAGCACUUCUACAGGUCUGUAUAUAUCCCCCUCCAUAAGUUACUCUCUAUAACAAUAACAUGGAUAAUAUAUAUAUAUUUAUGGCUGAAGAUUGAUUUGGCUUCUUAAUUUACGAUUUCAGGACAUGUUUGUCGGAGGAAGUGAUACUAGUUGGACUGCCAUGAUAUGGUUGAUGACAGAGCUUGCAAAAAAUCCGCGUGUGAUGAAGAAAGCCCAAGAAGAGGUAAGAAGAGUGGUGGGGAAAAAGGGAUUUGUAGAUGAGAAUGUUGACAUCCCCCAAAUGACCUACAUGAUAUGUUGCAUCAAAGAAAAUAUGAGAGUUCAUCCUCCGGCACCUCUUUUACUUCCCCGUGAAACAAGUACAGGUGUGAAAUUGGGAGGUUACGACAUCCCUGCGAAAACACAAGUGUUUGUCAGCGCAUACUCGGUACAAAGGGACCCCAAAGUCUGGGACAAGCCCGAUGAGUUUUACCCGGAGAGGUUCGAAGAAAAGUCCGUUGGUUUCGUAGGUCAGGAGUUUGAACUCAUCCCAUUCGGUGCUGGGAGAAGAGUGUGCCCUGGACUCGGCUUUGGGGUUGCUUCAGCUGAAUAUGUGCUUUCCAACCUUCUAUAUUGGUUUGAUUGGAAAUUGCCUAGUGGUGGUAAAGCAUUGGCUGAGACCAUGGACACCGAUGAAGUUUACGGACUCACAGUCCAUAAGAAAGCUUCUCUCAACCUUAUCCCAAUCCCAUACAACCCUUGAUCCCUCCAUAGAGGUCCGUCAUACUUAUAUAUGCUUUUAAUUAAUUGUGUUUGUUGUUUCUGUUUCACCUGAAUUUGCUUUAGUAAUUCUGCACUUUACAAUGUUUUGAUCCUCAACGAGACGUUGUAAUGUGACUGCGUAGAAAUUGUAACAGAUACAUAGUUUUUGAUAAUAAUACAUAUUUCGGAUUUCCAUACAGAGGGACCCCGAAGUAUGGGACAGGCCGGAGGAGUUUAUCCCAGAGAGGUUCGAGGACAGCCCCAUUGAUUUCAAGGGCCAGGACUUUCAACUCAUCCCAUUUGGUGCUGGGAGAAGGGGUGCCCGGGAAUUGCCCUUGGGUUCUUUCGGCCGAACAGGUGCUUGCGAACAUUCUGUACUGGUUUGAUUGGAAAUUGCCUAGUACUAGUGGUAGUGCAUUGCGUGAAGCCUUGGACAUGACUGAAGUUUAUUGGCUCACGGUCCGUAAGAAAGCUCCUCUGAUUCUUGUGCCGGUACCCGACUCUCCUUGAUCCCUCCAUCCAGAGAUUUCGUGUUUAACUUGCUCUUAAUCUAGUUGUUCUUUUGUUUUUUUGCUGAAGAAGUUGUCUGCCUUAAUGAUAUGGUAAACUAUAUAAAAUGUAUUGUUUGCCUAAGUUCUCAGAGGCAUCUCAAUAAACACUUCUCCCAUCUUAGCUACUUCCAUUCUACCUUGGAUGAGUUCUUGGGUUAAUUUUUUGAGUCUUUUUUUGGGAAAAUGUAGUACUCAUGGCCAAUCCCAAGCGGUCAAGUUUUUAUUGGAAAAAUUAUUAGAACCUUCAUUUAAUGGAAAUAUUUGAAUUAGAAACUGUUGUGCGGAAGUGUCAAAUAUGAAACCAAUAAACUAAUACGGAAAAAUAUGACAAGACAAACAAUCUAUAAUGACACAAGAAUUUAUAUUGGUUUGGCUUACAUGCAAUUCAAAGAAGACGAGGAAAUUCCGCUAAUAUCAAAAUGGAGAUUACAAAUCGAAUUUUACUCUCAAAUCCCAAAACCCACAUAUACCCAAUAGCUCUCACUCAUACAAGAACAAAUGGAGAAGAUAGAAACACAUACCAAAUCCCUUCUAUCCCAAAAGCCACAAAACAUAGCCUGAAUAUCUUUGACUGAGUGAUUACUAAGAGCAACUCCAUCGUUGCUAAGGCCCCCCAGGGCUAUUCACUAUUUAAUUCACCCAGUAAACAAGAAUUACCCUUAAUGAACAGUAACAACAUUUUGCAUCUCCACCCCUACACUGAAAAACCCUAGCAAUAGGCAAUAAAAUAUUAGUAUUUUAUUUAUUUAUAAAAUAAUACAAAAUAAUUUUAUUUGUAAUUUUGAAUAAGAUUUUUAAUCGUUCUCAUUGCGCCACGUGUCAUUAUCUGAAAAGACAAUUAUUGGUGAUGAAUUUCGAUAAGAUUUUUAUCCAAUACCGUCGUGUCACGUGCUGUUACCUUUUCAAAAUCGUUAAGGAUAGAUUUUCGAUAAGAUUUUUGACCAAUCACGUCGCGCCACGUGUCACAAUCUGUUUACAAUCUUUGGGGAUACAUUUCGAUCAGAUUUUUAACGAAUGACGGAAAUCGAUCAGGAAUCCACCAUCCAUAUAAUCCAUACCAAUUUUCUAAAUAAUCCACCAUCCAUAUAAUCUGUUUACAACCUAAUCCUUUAUGAAUCCUCCAUAUAAUCCACUAUCCAUCCUCAGAAAUCUCACACCAAUUUUCUCAAGAUCUUUAUCGUUAUUCAUAGUUUCUGCUUCCUUCUUCACCAAAAUCAAAAUUUGUAUCAUUAUUCAUAGUUUCUCGUUCUUUCUUACAAUGUCUUCUUCUUCAAGGAUGAUGUGGGAAAUCGAUCAGCAAGAGGAAGAUGUGUUUAACCAAUUAGAAGGAAUGUUCAAUCUCCAGGUGGCCCAAAAUGAGAUGGAAAAGGAUGAGGAGCGUAGAAGGAGAGAUGACAAAGCAAGAAUGGCAAGAGCCUCACAUUCCCGUCGAGUCAUCCAAGUUAUGGCUCAGAUCUGCAGGCCAAGCCAUUUUGUAAACCUUGAUAAAAGUAGGCAACGACGAGGUACAUAUCUAUUGGACGAUUAUUUUGUCCGUCACAGUGCAUUCCCUGAUACGUACUUUAGACGUCAUUUUAGAAUGGAACGACACUUGUUCAACAAAAUCAUGAUUGUUGUUUGCAACCAUGAUUCUUACUUUGUGCAAAAGAAUGAUGAUUUUGAUGUUAUGGGUCUCAUUCCUGAGCAAAAAAUUAUUGUUGCCUUGCAGAUGCUUGCAUAUGGAGCAUCUGCAUACCAAAUGGAUGAGAUAGCGAGGAUGGGGGAAUCAACCAUUCUUGAGUCCCUGAUGAGGUUUUGCGAAGCAAUUGAAUCUAUCGACAUCGCAAAGUACCUCCGGAGACCUACUGAGAUAGACUUGCAAAAGCUUCUAAAGAAGGGCGAGAUACGAGGUUUUCCUGGGAUGAUUGGAAGCAUCGAUUGUAUGCACCAGACCUGGAAAAACUGUCCAAGUGCAUGGCAAGGCGCUUAUGGGGACAAAAAAAAGCAAAAAGUGUCAUUUUGGAGGCGGUGGCAUCUUUUGAUACAUGGAUUUGACACGCCUUUUUCGGGGUUCCAGGAGCUCAAAAUGACCUUAAUGUCCUUGCCCAAUCCCCAAUGAUGUCUUGCAAGGAAAGGCACCUAAAGUCAUGUACUCGGUCAACGGACAUAAAUACGACGGGGCAUACUACUUAGCAGAUGGCAUUUACCCAAGGUGGUCAUCUUUUGUCAAAACAGUGCCACUUCCGCAAAGUGCAAAGGAAAAACACUUUGCAAGCUGUCACGAUGGGUGCAGGAAGGAUGUGGAGUGUUGUUUUGGUAUCCUCCAAGCUUGUUAGGCGAUUAUCAAGGGUGCUGCCAGAAUGUUUGAUUUAGAGUCGCUUCGAUCCAUCAUGAUGACGUGCAUCAUUCUUCACAACAUGAUUGUGGAAGAUGAGUACAAUUAUGAUGUCGUUAAUGAAUAUGAGCCAGACACGAUGAACAAUUCCAGAACACAAAUAUAUUAUGCUCAUGACGCCACCGAAGAACCUGUGCAACACGAGCCAUUAGAAAGGGAUGAACGUUACAAUCAAAUGCUCAUUCAACGAUAUGCUGCACUUCAAAGGCCAUAUAUGCACAAUGCCCGGCAUAUUGAUUUGAUAGAGCACCAGUGAGAAUUGAAACAAGCUCAAGAUACUUAAGUUCAUUUAGUGUGUUUGUUUUUAUUUGGUGUGUUUAUUUAAUUUUAUUUGGUGUGUUUAUUUAAUUUUAUUUGGUGUGUUUUUUUUAGUUCAUUUAAUGAGUUUUUUAUUAUUUGGUAUGUUUAUGUAAUUUUAUUUGGUGUGUUUUUAUUAGUUCAUUUAAUGAGUUUUUUUUUUAUUAUUUGGUAUGUUUAUGUAAUUUUAUUUGGUGUGGUUUUUUUAGUUCAUUUAGUGAGUUUUUUUUAUUAUUUGGUAUGUUUAUGUAAUUUUAUUUGAUUAAAGAUUAUCUUAGUAUAAAUAAAUUACCAAAUUAAAUAAAUUUUCUCUUACAUUAAAUAAAGUACUAAAUUCAAUAAAUUGGAAACAACAUAAAGUACUCUAUUCAAUAAAUAAUAGAUUGCAACCCAAAGUGAUUGAAAAAUUAUGGGCUCCGAUUACAAACAAAGUGAUUGGAAAAUUAUGGGUUCGUGAACGAAUCAUCGUCACCUAACCAAUUUGUGGUGCUAGAAUGAUCUUCUCUUGUCGUGCUAGGACCAUUCCACUUGCUCUCGCUUCUCUUGCACGCCUCUUUUGCACCACGUCGGCUUUCUCCGACUUCCAAAAAUAUUUAGAAUUUGGAGACUUCCUUUCUAAAGGCGUAUUCAUAAUGUCACGAUCUCGUUGAGCCAUUCUUUCUUCUCUAACAUGUUCCUUUUCUUGCCUAAGUAGCUAUCUUUCUGUCCUAUUAGCUUGAAAUUCUCUCUCAACAGCUGCAGCUUUUGUCUCCACUCUAGCCUUAUCAGCCUCAAAUUUAGCCAUUUCCCGUGCCAAAGUCAAUUCACCUUGGCGAGCAAGUUCUUCCAUAUACUUUGCAUAAUCAUUCUUGGAAGCACUCCAUUUUCUCUUUGAAGCCUUCUUACCUUGAGGCCUAAUUGGAUAACAGGUCCACCCCGACGCUUGUUCCGGGGGGGGGGGGCGUUUCAGGCACUUCUUCUGCGUCAUCUUCAUGAACAUGUGAGGAAUGAUCGGGUGUAAAGUGUAGAUGGGUGCUGUUCAUGAAAACUUCGAGACCAACAGGCACAAUUCUAAAUUUAAGACAAUCUUUGACAAUAUUCCAACAUUCCCACAUUUUGAAUGAUUGCUUUUGGUUUUUGGAUUUGGCAUUAUACCAAGAUUGUGCUUGAAGUGUCUACAUAAUGCGGGCGAAGAAAUAAUUAUAAUCAAAGUAGCUAAUGUAAAUUUGGGUAUAAAACAAACAAAUAAAUAAUAUAUUGUUACCUGAUCUUCUAAAUUUUCCCCACUUUGAAGAUUACUACUAGCUUGUGCCAAAGUAUCUCUCCACAUACCAAACGAUUGGCUAAGUAUUUUCCAACAACUAGACAUCGAUUCUUUGGUUCUUUUCCCACCCAUUUUCUCAAGAUAAUUUGUAUGAAUAAGACUCCACAUUUCUCGCAGCUGCAUCUCAUUACCGAUAAUCGGAUCAUGAGUAACUUCAACCCAACUAGUACACAACGCAACAUCUUCAAUAAGAGUCCAAUUCGUAUCUGCAUUAGUAGUCAUUUUAUUGGAAAAAAUAUUGGAUUGAAACUUUGAGAGAAAGAUAGGAAUGUGGUUGAAGGUAGCUGAGAAAAUAUGAAAUUGUGGUUGAAACUUUGAGAAAAUAUGAAAUUAUGGUUGUGGUUGCAAGUAUUUGCGAGAAAGAUUGGAAUAUGCUUGAAAGAUUGGAAUAAGGUAGAAGAUAAUGAGAAGGUAUUUAUAGAAAAGUAAAAUCAAUUUUUUUUUAAUUUUUCAAAUUUUUUUUUUCGGAUUUUUAAUAAUUUUUAAUUUUUAUUCACAUAAUUAAUCUUUGCCGUUGGAUUAAAAAAAAUUGAAUUCCAACAUUUCAGAUUGUACCAUGUGGCACAACGGUAAUAUUUCAGAAUUAUAAUUUUUUUUAAUUUAUAAAGGUGAAUAACGUGGAUCGUUGAUCUCAGAUCCAACGGUUGAAAUUAAAUAAGGUUUUUAAAUUUUUGUUACCGUUGGAAAUCUAACAAUCCACAAAUUGUUGUCGUUGAAAUCCAACAGAUGAGGGGAAGCCACGUGGCCUCCCAACGAUAACAUUUUCAGAGUGCGCAGCGGGCCCCAGCUUCUGAAAUCCUGUCAAACGACGCGCGCCAAAUAGAGCUUGAAGCCCACGCACCUGACAGAAAAAAAAUAUAUAUAAAAAAUGGUUGAUGUUAGCCUUGCCAUCGGGCUCUCGGGCCAGCUCUAUCGCCAAACCCCUCCCUCGGGCCAGCUCAGGCUUAAUAGCCAGCUUGGGCUGAACCUUCUUGCUCGGGCAAUUGGACACUGUUUGAUCCACUGUCCACUGGGCUAUCAGCUUCGGUGGAGCUGCUCUAACAAAGAGGGAGCAGCAACUCAUUUUCUCACUAAUUAGAGUUGUCGGCAUACAACUCCUUUUUCUCUCAUAUGCCGCCGCUCCAAACCAAAAGGCAUAAAGAAUGCUUUGUAUAUAUCUACAUGCUUUCAAAUUAAACCCUAGCCCAUUGUGGGCUAUUAAGCAACCAAUCUUUGGGCUUUAGACAAAACAAAAGGCACAAUCAAAAUUGAGCCAUUAAUCCAACAAUCUCCAACUUGGCGAAAUUCCUGAAAGCAACACAGAGUCAAAUCAACAAUCAUCAUAAGCACCCAAAGUACGAACUAGAAACAACGGAAGCUAAAUCAAAAUCCCCAAGCUCUCAAUGCUCAUAACAAUCUCAACAUCGACUCAAAUUGUACCAAAAUCAUCAAAAGUAGAACAUUUCUCCACAGUCUUCCCCAAAUUUGCAAACCAUAAGUGCCUUUCUCAAAACAAAAGUAAUUCAAACGAAGAACUAAAAUUCUUCAAUAUCACCUACAAAAUCAAGCACAUCAUAACAAAGUAGGACACGCAAACUUGUUCACAAACACCAUGGUCUAAAAAUGCACCAAUAGACUCAUUCACAUAGCAUGACACAUUCUCCAGGUCAAAGCUGAUUACACAUUUGGUGACAUAUGUCCAACAUAGCACAUACAAAACCUUUGACCCCCAAAUUCAACUCCUAGGAAUACCAAAUUUUAUGUCAUUCACUCAAGCUUACCAUCAUCGCCUGAGCACCAACAGGACAACUAAAAAUUUCAAAUUCAAAUAAUCAGCAGGAGAUCCAAAACCAUAUCUCAACUAGAGUCUUCAAGAAAGCUAAUUGCAGAUGAUGGAGACCAACAAACCAAAUAGCCUAUAGACUAAACAAAGUUAAAAAGCAUAUAACUUGCCUUCUACCAGAGGGUUCCACACAAAUGUUCCACAUUGCACGUGGUGUAUCUAAGUUAGUGUGGUGUCUCACUAUCCAAACUUUGUAGAACUCCACAAUUGGCCCUCAUUGAAUACAACUCUACCAAAAGGCAAAACCAUACCAAUACCCAAGUUCCUUCAGCAACAAAUUCCAUUACAAAAACUAACAAAUUCAAGCCAAAAAAUCUUUGCAAAGCUCGAACAAACAUACCCAAUAAAACUCCACAUUGACAAUACAAAGUGAACAAACGUUGCCUCAAUGACAACCAAAUGGGAUAGGUAAACUAACUCUUCAACUUGAGCCACAAGUCAAAUGCAUAUUUGACAUCAAUAAUAACAAAAUACUCCAUUUUGAAAGCUAAAAAUGACGAAUAUGAAAUGUUUGAAGAGCUAGGUUUUGUAAAAAUAAUGAAGACAAAAUCAAGGAUGUGAGAAGAAAUCAAAAGUCAAGCUAGUGCCAUUUGUCAAUAGAUGAGAUAGAUAUAGUUAUAUGAAAGUUGUUAUGAGUUGUUAGACGUGUAAUUAAUUAGUUGAGAUAAGGAGGUUCGAAAAUAAUCCAGUAGCUUAACUUUCACUACAAGCUUUGCAAGAUAUAAACUACCGUCGUAAACAUUACUUGACGAUAAAAGAAACAUUUCUCAGUCUAAAACUCUCGAGCUCUCUCUUUCUUAUCUGAAUUUCUGCACUCAAGUUUCUUCAAGCUUUCUUCAAUCUUCACAGGUUUAAGAACAAAAAAAUGAUGACAAUGGGCAGGACUUUGAUUGGACGCCCUAGUAAUGCCAGUACAUUCCCUCCUCCAUGCUUACUAUUUUUUUAAAAUCAUCUCCAUGCUUACUAAUUUAUUAUGCUCUUCUUUGUUUUGUUUUUUUUACCGACGAUAAGAUAAUAGAUAGUUUACAUUAUACUCAUGUUUAGCAUAAGAAAAUUUGGUGACGAGAAUUUGAACUUGAAUGCAAAUUAGAAACAUAUAUAAAUUUCAACAAAAAAAGUAGAAUUACGGAAAACUAAGCAAAUAAUUUGUGUUGUGUUAAUUUAAUUUGUAUGUAAAAUGUCCAUCCAAUUUUCUAUUUUAUUAAAGUGUUAGGAUCAAAGGACAAAAUUUUUAUAAAUACGUUUACACUUCUUUUUAUAAAUCUAUCCACAUUCUACUGUCAUAAAUAAGAGUUAAGAUGACUAAUACCAAGAUUCCCAACUCAUUAUUAUUAAAUAAAGUGCAUGCAUGAAAAUAAAAAUAAAUUUCGACUAAUAAUUUUUCUUUAGAAUAUAAUAUUAUGUUAAAAGCUAAACACCUUGACCACUUAUACUACGUACAGUCACCAGAUAUUCUUAUGUGCUUGAGAAGUUUAAAUGAAUAACGAGUUUAAUAUCAAUUUAUUUUUUUUAAUCUUAAAUAUAUUACAAAUAUAUCAUUGCUAAAAAUAAAAUAAAAAAAAUAAAAAAACCUUAAAUAUAAUAUAAAUAUACCAUUGUUUAAUAUCAAUUUUAAAUAUAAUAUAAAUAUACCAUUGUUUAAAUAUAAUAUAAAUAUACCAUUGAAGAAAUGUACAGCUCAAGUUGUUUUGUGAAGUUGGUGAAGACACAUGAUUCGUUUACUAUUUUCUGGUGUGGAGUGAUCUUGCCGAUAUGGGUUUAUGUUGAAAAUGGGGUUUUCUAUUUUGUUGUUUUUUUGAUGAAUUGUCUAAGAUAAACUAGUGUUUCAUUCAGUAAUUUGGUUGGAUUACGAGAUUUCAAGAAAGUGUCAUUCUUUCUUGAUGGUUAAGAAAGUAUCAUUCUUUUUUUUAUUCCAUAGAAUUUGAGUAUCAUUCUCUCGUUGCCUUAGAAUUUGUCAAGAGUAUCAUUCUAUUGUUACUUUAGAAUCUGUCAAGAGUGUCGUUCUCUUGUUGCCUUAGCAUUUUUGUCAAGAGUGUCAUUUUCUUGCUGCCUAGAAGAAUUCAUCUGUUUUUUUAUUUCUAGAUUGUACUUGUACCUUUCAUCAUGGCUUCACCAACGGCUAAAGUUGUAGUCUUGUGUGAUGAUGAUGGAGUGAGCAGAGGUUUUGGUUUGUGUCUCAACUCUUCAAGAAGCUGCAAAAGCUCUCAGUAAUCUUUUGGUCAGCAAUUACAAAGGUGUCAUGGCAACCGAGCUGCUACGUAGUAUAUGUAAAUUAGGAGGAAGUUUUGAGUGGGUAGACAUGCCACCAGGUUUAACCGAUUGGGUAGAAGAACCAACUGUAGGCAUGAUAUGGACAUCAUUCUUUACCUGAGCAGCCUUGAGAAGUGAUGCAGCAUCUGAAGGAAAAGCAACGCAUGCCCCAGCAGCAAACACAGCGGCUCUUACCAUACUAUCAGCCUUCAUGGGACUACGGUUCAGCUUUAGCAGUAGUAAAAUGCAGAGAGUUACUUGUUGCAUUUGUUCCAGCAAGCUUGCUAUCAAGUUAAUCCAAAGUUAGUGUAGUUAAAAGUGCUACAAUGUUGGAUCAUCAACUUUAUUCGAAAUGGUUAUUGGUAGCAUCAAAAGUGGAACUUGUAUCAAAGAUGUGGGACUGAACAUUCAAUUGUGGAUCACUUUAUAUUUUCAAGAUAGCGGGGUUGUCCAAAUACAAUACAGUUUUCCUGCUCAUUUAUGUCAACAACUCCAAACUAUCAUACACUGCUCCAAACUGCAAGAGGCAGGGGUUUGGGGUUUUCUGCAGUGUUUAGCUUCAUAACAAUAAUUGUAGAUGUAUGUACAAAAGGAUUGCACAGUCCAAUGUUCUUGAAGCAUUGCAGACAUCUUCGUCUCGUAAUUCCAGAUAAUAGAGAGAGUUAUCUUUGUAUUCUUAUUAUUUCAGAUUAUAAUGAAAGCAUCAUUGCUGCCCCGAUGAUGUACUCCAGUCAUAUUGACAGUAAAGGAACCUCGUAAAUUUUGUGUCUUGUUUCUUUUAUUCCACUGCACACACUGUCGAUUUUACAACACGUUAUCAGCACAAGAAGCUCUCAUGUCAGUGGAAAGCACAAUGCCAUAAAUCCGAUGAAGCAUUACCUACCUUCCACCUCUGCUAGCCAAAAAUCUCACAGAAUAAAAGGUUUGUCCAUUUUCUGUAUCUUCUACCGCGCCUGAAGCGCCCCACCAAAUUUAGGUGAGAAUUGAAAUUUACGACCUGUAGUCAUCACAAGAUAAGAAAACUCGUACCAACAACUUGUUUCCAGAGAUUCAGAAGAAUCUCAUCAGACUUGGAAACCCAGAUCACAUCGUUUUCGACGGAUCUCGAGAACUCCCAUGAAUACUCGAUUGUUUGAGAUGGUGAUGACAAGAAUGAAUCCACAUAAGCUUCCCUAUCUUGUGCCUCCAUCAACCCCGCUGUCAUCUAUGUCUCUGUAUGGAGGUUCUUGCUUCGCGAUGUCAUGUUCCCUGGGUCAUGCAAGAACAAUGCCAGUCUCUGAUAACCUUUUUGGAUUGAAUUGGUUCUGUGUGACCUCCAUAACAACCCAACUAGCUCUGGGUUUAAGACUGGUAGAGACAGACAAAGAAAAAAAAAAGGAAGGAGGGAUUAUGGAAUGGUGUUUCAGGCACCAUGUGAAUGAAUAAGAAAGAUAAUAAUAAAAUAAAAUAAAGGAGAUGGUGCAUCUGCACCAUUCUGAAAAGAAAAAAUAAUAAUAAUAAAAUAAGCACAAUUUGGAUGGGUGCCUCGACAGAAGUGAAGGGAGGAAUAUAAUAAAACAAAAAGGGGAAAAAACCAAAAGGCUUUGAAUGGUGCAUGUGACCCAUUAUUAAUACUGGGUGUGCGCAUGUGUGUGAAUAGGAUUCUGAGGGAAAUAAUACACAAAGUACCCAAAACAUUCUCCAAAGAUUUCUAAAACCACCAUUCUAAAAAGAAAAAUAUAUAUAUUUCAUGUUAUUGUUAUUUAUGUGAAUGGUGUUGGCUUAAAACACUUUCACAAGUUCUAUUUACUUUAAAACAAUUUAUUUACCAUGGACGGUUUUACCGCCUAUUGCUUUAAGUUUUGAUAUAUGUGAAUGGUGUUGAAUUAAAGCCCUUGUCACAAGCUUUAUUUACUUAAAUGCAAUUUAUUCGUUAUGGCUGGAUUUACCGCCUAUUGCUUUAAUUUAUUUAUUGUACUUAUCUUGUGUUACAAUGAGUAUAUAUAGGACCUGAAGUUCAUUGAUCAAAUCAGAACCUGCAGUUUCUUGAUCCUCAUCAUAUAAAUGAUUGGACCUGAAGUUCCAUCAUGCAAAAAGAUCAGGCAUGAAGUCCCUUGAUCUUGAAGAUCAUGACAUGAAAUUCCUUGAUGAGUAUCGUAAGUUUGAAGUGCCCAGUGCCUUAACUUAAUUGUAAUAAAUAGGUGAAGCUUUUAUGGGUCAAGCUUUUGUAGGUUAAGCUUUUGUGGGUGAAGCUUUUGUGGGUGAAGCUUUUAUGGGUCAAGCUUUUAUGGGUCAAGCUUUUAUAGGUGAAACUUUUGUGGGUGAAGCUUUUGUGGGUCAAGCUUUUGUGGGUGAAGCUUUUGUGGGUGAAGCUUUUGUGUUGAAGCUUUUGUGGGUGAAACUUUUGUGUUGAAGCUUUUGUAGGUGAAGCUUUGGUUGGGUACCAUGAAUUGGUUUUGCUUCACACUAUCUUGAUCAAGAUAGUGUGAAGCUUUUGAGAAUUUGUAGUUGUCCUCCAUUGUUGAAGCUUUUGUUGGUGAAGCUUUUGUGUUGAACCUUUUGUAGAUGAAGCUUUGGAGUUGAAGCUUUGUAGGUGAAGCUUUGGAGUUGAAGCUUUUAUUGGGUACCAUGAAUUGUUUUUGCUUCACACUAUCUUGAUCAAGAUAGUGUGAAGGUUUUGAGAAUUUGUAGUUGUCCUCCAUUGAUGAAGCUUUUGUUGGUGAAACUUUUAUGGUGAAGCUUUUAUGGGUGAAGCUAUUGUGGGUGAAGCUUUGGAGUUAAAGCUUUGUAGGUGAAGCUUUUGUAGGUGAAGUUUUGGAGUUGAAGCUUUGUAGGUGAAGCUUUGGAGUUGUGGGUGAAGCUUUGGAGUUGAAGCUUUGUAGGUGAAGCUUUUGUGUUGAAGCUUUUGUAGGUGAAGUUUUGGAGUUGAAGCUUUGUAGGUGAAGCUUUGGAGUUGAAGCUUUUGUUGGGUACCAUGAAUUGAUUUUGUUUCACACCAUCUUGAUCAAGAUAGUGUGAAGCUUUUGAGAAUUUGUAGUUGUUCUCAAUUGAUGAAGCUUUUGUUGGUGAAGCUUUUGUGGUGAAGUUUUGUUGGGUACCACGAAUUGAUUUUGCUUCACAAUAUUUUGAUCAAGAUAGUGUGAAGCUUUUGAGAAUUUGUAGUUGUUCUCCAUUGAUGAAGCUUUGUUGAAUUUCCUUUUUUAUUUAUUUAUCUAUUUAUUUUUUGGAAACUUGAAAUUUGAAAAUGUGAGAGAGACAACAUAUACAAAUUUUUCUUCCACACUAUUGAGCAAGAGAUUGUGAUGCAGGCCACACCUUGUAGUAGUCGAACGUUUGGAUGAACCACAUAAAUUGAAUUUGCCUCGAAUGUUUGAGAAUUGUAGUUGCCCUCUAUUGAUGAAGCUUUUGUUGGCACCAUAAAUUGGUUUUGCUUCACACUGUCUUGAUCAAGAGUGUGUGAAGCUUUUGAGAAUUGUGGUUGAACUCCUUUGAUGAAGCUUUUGUUGGCACCAUAAAUUGGUUUUGCUUUACACUGUCUUGAUCAAGAAUGUGUGAAGCUUUUGAGAAUUGUGGUUGCCCUCCAUUGAUGAAGCUCUUGUUGGCACCAUAAAUUGGUUUUGCUUCACACUGUCUUGAUCAAAAGUGUGUGAAGCUUUUGAGAAUUGUGGUUGAACUCUUUUGAUGAAGCUUUUGUUGGCACCAUAAAUUGGUUUUGAUGAAGCUUUUGUUGGCACCAUAAAUUGGUUUUGCUUCACACUGUCUUGAUCAAGAGUGUGUGAAGCUUUUGAGAAUUGUGGUUGCGCUCCAUUGAUGAAGCUCUUGUUGGCACCAUAAAUUGGUUUUGCUUCACAUUGUCUUGAUCAAGAAUGUGUGAAGCUUUUGAGAAUUAUGGUUGCCCUUCAUUGAUGAAGCUCUUGUUGGGCAUAAGUGUUCCCCUAGUUGAGUUGUCAAGCUUGAGGGUUUUUUAUUAUUUGUGAAUGCUAGGAGUUCAUAUGUACAAGUUGUACCACUCGUCUUCUGGUAGGUGGAAUGAAUGGUGAGUUGUUUUCAUCACUUGGUUAGUGGUAUGAAGGUGAGUUCAUUCAUCACCUUUCAUCACAUUUCAUCACCUGGUUGAUGGCACAAGGAUGAGUUCCUUCUUCACCUGGUUGGUGGCAUGAAUGGCAAGUUGCCAAAUGAUAUUAGAGUACAGGUUGUACAGUUCAUCACCUGGUUGGUGGCAUGAAGGAGAGUACGGGUUGUACAUUUCAUCACCUGGUUGGUGGCAUGAAGAUGAGUUCCUUCUUCACCUGGUUAGCAGCAUGAGUGGCAAGUUGACAAAUGAUAUUAAAAUACUAGUUGUACAUUUCAUCACCUGGUUGGUGGCAUGAAGAUGAGUUCCUUCUUCACCUGGUUGGUGGCAUGAGUGGCAAGUUGCCAAAUGAUAUUAGAGUACGGGUUGUGCAUUUCAUCACCUGGUUGGUGGCAUGAAGGAGAGUACGGGUUGUACAUUUCAUCACUUGGUUGGUGGCACGAAGAUGAGUUCAUUCUUCACCUGGUUUGUGGGAUGAAUGGCAGGUUGCCAAAUGAUAUUAGAGUACGGGUUGUAUAUUUCAUCACCUGGUUGGUGGCAUGAAGGAGAGUACGGGUUGUACAUUUCAUCACCUGGUUGGUGGCAUAAAGAUAAGUUCUUUCUUUACAUUUCAUCACCUGGUUGAUGAGAAUAAAGGCAAAGUGUCGAGGCACAUUGUAUCAAGUGUCGAAGACACAAAGUAUGUUGAACAAUUUCGAAGCACAGUUGGCUUAUGUAUGGAUGUGUUGGAAUGUUUGAUGUUUAUGUAUGAAUGUGUUAGAAUGUAUAAUGUUUAUGUUGAUUGAUAUGAGUGAUGCUUAUGAAUGUUUUUCUAUACAUGAAGGGAUCCAUGCUUUUGAUAUGUGAACCAUGUUGGUUGUAACACUUGGUAUCACAUACUUUGUAUCAAAGUAUGCAUGUUGAAGCUCUGAGUUUGAGUAUAAGGGUAGGUCAGUGUAGACCAAGUGUUCCAGUGCUAGGAAUGCAAAAGACUCAGAAAAAGUUGUCUGAAUUCCCUUUUCUUUAAAUAUUUGUCGAAUGGCUUGUGUGACAAAAGAUCUGAAGCGGUUGAGAGUCAAAACAUUUGUAAUGUGUAUGCCUUUUUAUAAUAGCAUUUCCUUCAGUACCUAGUCCUCCACUUUGAAAGAGUGAGGCUUGACCUUAUAGUCAUAAUAGUCGACGGUACGUUCACCCCUUGUUGUCUUGAUACGAACUUUUAUCCCUCUUGUUGUAAUGGGCUUACUGAGAGUAAAAAUCUUUCCUCUUACCAAGAGACAGGUACGUUUGGUGACUUAGCGAGUAGCUAAAUGAGGCAGGAGAUGAUGCAAUGGGUGUUUGAAUGGCCAAUAUAUCCUCACUUGGUAGAACUUGACUUCCACUUCCUAUUUAUUGAUAGAGGUUAACCAUAUAGGGUUUUCUUGGUAUGUCCUUACUUGGGCAGAGGUGUGGUUGUAAGCCUGUACCAUCACCACAGAGUAAGUCUUCCAAGUGUUGACAUUGAUCAUGUACUUGAAGAAACAAUCACGUAGGCCUGCCGUGAAGGCCUUGAGGGCGGUCUUGUCAUCUGCCUCAGCGCAGCGAGAAUACUCAUGGCUGAACCGACCGGCAUACUCUCGUAGUGACUUGUCCGGCUUCUGGCGAAUAGUGUAUAAGUCAUCUGCAGAAUGCAAGUGAUUGGUUUGGAAAAUGUGUUGAGAGAGUGUACGAAUAGUGUACAAGUCAUCUGCAGAAUGCAAGAAUAUGGCACUACUAAACUAUUGCAUUCUCGAAGCAUAACUGUUGCAUGCCAGAAGCAUGACAGUGGCCACAUGAAUACAUGGUCCAGAUGGACAAUCUGUGGACAUGGGAAUUUUGAUGUCUUAUGCAUGAAGCAUGAUAGACAUGUAGGUUCCAAUGACUCAACUCCCGGAAGUGGAGAUUAAAAUCCAAGCUCUAUAACGCUCAAGAUGAAAUUAUGAUCCACAUUCUCUAAAUUACGACUAUCCUAGAAGAGAUAGUAUAAUGCCCUUGAAGAGGCAAUGGAUAUCCAAAAGAAAUGAAAAGCUUUUAUGCAUGCGCAUGCACAUGAGAAUAUGGGACCUCGAAUUGAUGAUAACCAAUGGUAAUGUUAAUUUUUACAAGUAGCUACUAAAUUCAUCAAUGAGUUGUGUUGAUAUUGAGUCUCGUUCUUUUUUGUCAACAAAAUUAUUGGCCAAAAUGGAGAAAGGCAAUUAUAUUACAAUUUUGUACGAACGUGGAAAAAUAGACCUAUAUAUUUGAAUAUAAUACAAAUAGCCAAAAGAUGUUGAACCAAGGAGAUUACAUUGGGCAUUUGUAAUACAGUGAAAUACACUCACAUGAUAUGACCCUAAAAUUAUACUCUUGUAAACAAGUUCACAUGAAUGGAGAAUUAUAUAUAAGGGGUUGUGAGUCGCCCACAUCAUAUCUCCAUAAGUAAAUCCCUCAAAUAUACAUGAGAGCAAAUUGCUCUGUAUAAAUUCCAAAGGAAAAUGUGUCAUGAAGUCUAGAAAAUCCCAGAAGGAUUCAAAUUGCUUAAAGUAAGCCCCUGAAGGGUAAAGCAUAAAUUAUGUACUCAAUACCAAUGGAUGAUAUAAAUUGCCUUAGUGAGUACUAUCAUUAUGAUAUUGUUGCAACAUACUAAAAUCUCUUGCAAUAGUCAAUGACAUUAAAUUAGAACUCCUGAAGAGUUGAUGAUAUUAAAUUGAGACUCCUGAAGAGUCAAGAAAAAUUAUAAAGUGUUGAAAGAAAUAUUGUCUUGAGUUGCAGAUCGAACAAUCUACCAACACGAAUCUUAUCCAUGAUGUUAAAGAACCAUAUGGAUUGAAGAUUAUGAGUUGAAUACUCAAAUGAUGUAGACACUAUGAAUGAUCAUUUAUCUUCGUGAGGGUAAAUAUAAAUUGAUAUUUGGUCCAGAAGUACCACAUCUUAGUGAAGUAUAUGCUUUAUUGUAUUUAGCACAAUACACUGAAUGAAAUUGUUGAUGCACAAAAUCAGUGAGGACUUUGGUACAACAGAAAGUGUUAAGUUUGUGACCUUCGCUAGAUUGCUCCGGUCACUAGUGUGGAUAAGUAUGUAAAUGGAUAAGGACAGGCAAGCAAACACAAGAUGUAUGUGGUUCACCCAAAUUGGCUACGUCCACGGAGUAGAAGAGUUCUCAUUAAUUGUGAAGGGUUUACACAAGUACAUAGGUUCAAGCUCUCCUUUAGUGAGUACUAGUGAAUGAUUUAGUACAAAUAACAUUAGGAAAUAUUGUGAGAGAAUGAUCUCUAUUUAUAAAAGAGAGUUUCUAGUUUCAUUCUGACAUUGACACGUGUCGUGUUGUGAUUGGCUUCUGAUGUUGACACGUGUCGCGCUAUGAUUGGCUUCUGAUGUUGACACGUGUCGCGCUAUGAUUGGCCUCCUGGUUGGAGGGAAACUCUUCUGGGUCUUUGACAGUAUAACGUUGACCGGUGCUUAGUAGUUUCGGGAUUGGUCAAGUAUGGUACUAACAGAAAUAAAGCUUAUCUAUUAAUAUCUUCGACAAAUUACAUAUAUGUACAUAUAUAUGAGUUAAAACAAACAAACAGGAUUGAGCCUUCACAAAGAUUGCCCAUGUGAAGCCUUAGUACUCGGAAGUACCCCAGAAAGGGGGAGGCACCGGAGAUUGAUUAUGUGGCACCCUAGUACUUGGCAAAACACAAGAAGGGGAAGGCAUAAGUUGCUUUCAGAAUCUAGCAACGAACAUCUGGUGAUCACUUUGAAUCCGACUUUCGGAUUCCUGCAGCUGGUCGAGUUUUCUUUUCAUGCUCGUCGAGUAAUUAUUUGCAAGCACGUGUAACACUCUAUUUUCGUGCUUGAGCCCUCUGAUCUCUUAUUUAAGACCUGCCACCUCAGCCAUCAAUGAUUCAACUUGGCGAUUUGAGCAAGUAGGCGUUGGCCCAUAUUGGAUACAGAGCUUGCACACUGAACACUGGGAGCCAAUGAGUCUUGAACGGCCGACUCAUCAGACCGUUUUGAAAGGAUCCUGUUAUCAUUUGGAGUGAGAAGAUUUCUAGCUACCACAGUAGCGGUUGUGUUAUUCUUCAUCACAGAGUCCCCAACCGUAAGAGAACCAUUAGAAGAUAAGAAGGACGGACGCCAUAUGUUAUCCUGACGCUGCUCGUCUGUAUCGCUCCUAAGACUCGAAUCUAAGCAAAUGUUAAAUGGGCAAGUCAUUUUCAGAAAUGAUGAAGGAAAAAAGAGGUCAAGUAAAAUUUCAAAAGUGCAAGAAUGAGGAAAUUUCUACAAGCAGCAACUUUCUUAGCAUACUCUUAAACACAAUUGAUGUCUCUAUAAAAGAAGAGGCAACAGACCCACUCGUUCAGAGUUCGAAGAGGCACCGCUCUUCGAAUUUCAAAAGACAGAUUUUCCUGAAUAAAGUUUGUUGGCAUUUUUCAGACGCAAUCUCAGCUUUUUUUGAUAUCGCGUGCAGCUUUGUCAAAGAUCUCUGAAAAAGUUGAAAAUGCGUAAAUCUUACUGUUCUAAUUACACCACAAUUGCUGACAAGAGUAAAGGCACAACACCAUUACCUGCUAUUGAAAAAUCUCUAUAUAUGUCGAUCUCCGUUCUCCAUAACAAGGCAGACCUGUAAGAAUACCUAACUCUCUUUCAUUGCCGAAAAUGCAUCUACAACCAAACCUCUCAACAUACUCAGUUUCUUUCCUCUCCGAGAAUACCUCUUCAAACAAGUCACACCAGAGCAAAAGUAUCUUAUAUCAUGCAAUCUCCAUGUCAUUUCCUUUGUCCUUGUUCUUACUUGCAAAGACAAGGACAAAGAAAGCAAUAUGUCAAAACCUCCACUCAAUCUCCCGAUAAGGAACCGACUGCCUGGAACCUUGUCUGAUUGCUUACCUAGUAUUGCUCUUGAGUAGCCAUCUUCAACUGUUGUUGGAGUUGAGUCUCCAGUCACCAAGAAGUGAUGAACCAUCCAAAUGCAAGGGUUGCAUUCCAUUCCUACAUUAGAGGGCAAAUACUGCAAGAGAAUAUGCCACACAUGCAUGGGAGAAAACCAGGGAAAAUACUGCUUAAGCAAGGGGAGCAAGGCAACUGAAAAUGAUACAUUGAAGCAUGUGGAGACAAGCGCAACAAACACGUGCUAAUUCGUCCCCGAAAAAACCGAAGAUCACUUGCCACAUGAAGCUCCUCAUGGUCCAAUUUCAUUCAAGAUCAAACCUCGAAUCUCUUGAAGAAAUCACAAGUCCGAUUCAAGAUCAAGUGUCCACCACCCUUGAAUCAAAUUCCGCUCCAGAUAAAAGGAGUAAAUUCAGACCUUUAGAGUAAGUCUCGCAGAAGGCCCUCCAACCCAGUUCAAUAACAAGCCUGUGGAAAGUUAAGAACAAGUAAAGCAUCUCUUUCGGCAUCUCUUCUCGCUAAGAGACUGAAGCAGAAUGAUCAAUGAUCAGCCUAAAUGAUUUGAAAUCAGGGGGAGAUAUUCAUCAGGGGGAGCAUCCAAGACAGAUCAAGAUUUUAACGAGUCAAUCGAAGACUUAUGGCCAUCCAAGGGGGAGUGUUGUAAAUAUGGUGGAUGUCCAUGCUGGCCACUAAUCCACUAAGCUACAAGUGGGAAUAAAGGUUGUCUUUCACUGUCUGCCAAAGCUUACUCCCUACGACUCAUGUUUUCUAUAUAAAUGCAACACACACCAAACAUAGGUUAGUGACUCACGGAGAGAUAGGAAAGAAGAAAGAAAGAGAGAAAAAGAGAGGAAGAGAGAAAAUAGAGGAAUAGGAGAGGAGAUAAUAAAGAGAGUUAUCUUCGUACUCCUGUUAUUUCAGAUUAUAAUGAAAGCAUCACCGCUGCCCUGAGGAUGUACUACAGUCACACUGACUAUAGAGGAACCUCAUAAAUUUUAUGUCUUGUUUCUUUUAUUCUACUGCACACACUGUCGAUUUUACAACAUUUAUUUAUUUUUUAUAUUUGUUAUCCCAAAACAAAGUUAUAGAAAAGUUUCGUAAUUCAUCAAGAAACAUCCGGUAUUCUGGUUUUAAACCAUAGAAAAGUUUCAUAACUCAUAGAAACCACCACGAAAUGUACGAUAUUUUUGAUCAUCAUAGAAUUUUGGCAUCCUCAAUUUGCCAAUCUAUUAAAUUUGAAGUGAAAGAUGAAAUCUUGGCAAACCCCACAAAACAAAUAAUUUAAAACCAUGGCCAAUCUAUUAAAUUUAAAGUGAAAGAUGAAGUCUUGGGAAACCCCCACAAAACAAAUAAUUUAAAAUCAUUCAAGCAAUCAGACAAAGCAAUAAAAAUAAUGUAAAACUACAGAUUCUUACAAAAUGCGGUUUUACUAAAUCUACAAAAAAUAAUUUAAAACCAUUCAACCAAUCAGGCAAAGUAGUAAAAAUAAUGUAAAAACAAUAGUAAUCCGUUUGUUUUUAACAUUUCCUAAACCCUAGCAAUAAUAUGAGUUUUAAUUCGUGUUUAGCGAGAAUCGAACCUAAAAUCUCUUACUUACAAGUGAAAAUGAAUAUCACUAAACUAUAGUACUAAAUGACUCUUUAAUUCCAACAUUAAAAUGAGUUGACGACUUUGUCAGUAAUGUCUGCCUUUUCGUACUCAAGUUUUGCACAAACGGAUUCUUACAAAAUGCGGUUUUACUAUUAUUUAAUUUAAUUUUUAUAUUUGUUAGAUAUAUUAGAUAUAAAAUCAAGGGAUAGAAAAGAAAUAAAAUGUCCUUUUCAGAAUAUUAUUUCUUUAAGUUGAAUGCGGUCCACAUGUGAAAAGUAUAGGAAAUAGGAAUGGCCUAAGGAAAGAACAAUACUUGACUAUUUAAAGAUUAGUAGGAAUUCCUACUCAAUUUUUUUUUCAAAAUUGUUCGUUGUCAAUUUAUAGAACUUCGUGUUUAUAAUCAGAACUAUUCAUAUUAUAAAUCACCCUAUAAAGAUCGUCUUUGCAAAAAUCAAUUAAAACUAAGGUUGUUUAGUCAUCAAAAUGUUUAAAAAUAAAUGAAUGGUUUUGGUAAAAGCAUUAUGAACUGUCCAUGUACUUGCUAUAAUAGAUUGACUAAACGAUCUUAGUUUUAAUUUAGUUUUUGUAGAGAUGAUCUUUACAGUGUAAUUUAUAGUAUGAAUGGUUCUUAUCAUAAAUACAAAGUUCUGUCAUUAAAACAUUAUGAAUUUUGAGUAGGAGUUCAAACUCAUCUGAGUAGUCAAGUAUUAUUCCUAAGGAAAAGGGGUGGGCAUUUCCCUUGUAAAAAAUCAGAUCCUAGAAAAUCUCACACUACCUACCUUCUGAGAAUCUGAAUUAUGAAAAUUUAACAGACACAACGUGGCCCAUUUUUCUGCAAAUCAUCAUUGCAUUUCUUAUUCUGGUGCUUGCCAUAAUAAUGCAAACAUAAAAUAAAAGGUUAACAUAUCCUUUUUCAAAUGUUAUCAUUAGAACGCAAGUCCACCUCUGCUACAAAGGUAGAGAAGAGUGUUGCCCUUACAUCAGGGUAUGGAUUCGAAUUAUGUCGGUUCUUUAAUCUAAUAUCUAAUCUAACAAAUCUAUCUUUGACCUAAAAAAAUGUUAUCAUCAGAACUGUUCGUUGUUAUUUAAAAAUUAUUGGGUUAAGUCAGGAUAAUUAUUUUUUAAGGGUGGUUUUAGAUUGGUCAUAACUUUUUUUUAAUAAACAAACGAUAUCAUUUAGGUGAAGGAUGAAUUUAGCCUCACAAUGGACUGAAAAGAAUCGAACCUAAGACUCUGACUUACAAGUGAAAAUGAAUACCACUAGACACUUCAAUAAUGUGGUCAUAACCUUUUAAAACAAUUCAAAUAACUACCUAAAGUUUUGAAAAAUAGUCAUCUAUUAGGUUCACUAGCUUUCAGUUAUGAUAUGAACAAAUAUUAAGCAUGUUUUAAAUCUCAAGUCAUCUAUGGAGAUUUGAAUCUCCAAAUUGACGCAUUUUGGAAGUCUCUCUCCUCUAGAUUAUUGUAAGAACAUCUCCAAUGGAAUGACAGCAAAGGGGCUUGCUGUCAAAUAUAACAACAGCUUCAAAUUUUCUUUAUUAAUUAUUAAAUGUCUUUUAUUAAUAAUUAAUUGUCAUUUAUUAUUGGAUUGUUGAACGGUAGAGCUUGUUUUAUGUACUACAUUUUUCUUCUUUUUUAAUCAACAAGUUCUUUUCAAUAUAAGCGACGAUGCCUUGUGAAAUAUAGUGAUUCAUUCUUCAAUCCUACAUUAUUUUGUGAACCCUCAAAUUUUUUCAAACUCAUCUUCUGAUUCAGCGGAGGAGUCUGGAAAAAUUUGAGGCAUGUUUUGCUUGUGGAUUUAUGGUUUUUGUCAACAGUUCUUCAGGUUUUUUGCUUUUUGUGCCGUUUUUAGAGAUUCUGUGCACAUGUUGUGAUGCUUUUAAUGGGAGAAUUUUUUUAGUGAGGAGUUGUUGGGUGUGAAUCAUGGGUGAUUUCCUUUUCUUAUUUUAUUUUUACUGGAUUUUAGGAUCCAUAUGAUCCAUCCACAUAAUUCAUAUAUGGAAAAGAAAUGGAAGCAAAUCAAAAUCCAGCUACUUCUAAGCAAUGAUUAUUCAUUUGAUAGAAAACUUCAUUUUAAUCUUUACAAAAUAUGAAUUUUAGACUAUGACAUUGUGUAAGAUUAAAAUCUAAUUUUAGUCCUUAGUUCAUUUAAUCAUCUCAUUUAUUAGUUAUAUUUUGAUGUUUUAUUUAUCUUUUUAUUUUUAUUUUAAUAUAUUAAUUUCAUUUAAAUUUAAUUUUUAUUUCAUUCAUCAAAAUUUAUUUUAAUGUCAACAUUUAGGCAACUAAUUUUUUUAUAAUAUAUAUUCCGAUAACAAUUUUGUAUAUCCAUCCAUACAAACAUAUAGGUACUUUAAUUCAAUAUAAUGCAUUUCGGUACGUACAUUUUGGUACACACAUUUGAGUAUCAACUUUUUGGUACAUUAAUUUAAUAUAUUAUAUUUCAGUACAUACAUUUUGGUACGUACAUUUUGGUACUUACAUUUCGAUAUUGAUAUUUAGGUACAUUAAUUCAAUAUAAUACAUUUUGGUUCAUUAUAAUAUAUUUCGGUACAAUUGUAGAUACAAAAAUUUCAGUACAAAAAAAUCAAUUUUAUAUAUUUCGGCACAGUCAUUUUUGUACACUUAUGUAUUUAUAUAUUUUUGUAUUACAAAUUUGUUUUAAUAUUUUCUCAUUUAUGUUCAUUUAUAAUUAGAGGACUAAAUAUGUGCAAAUUAAUAAAAUUAAAAUUUAAUGGGGAGAGAUUAAAUAAAAAUACACAUUAAAUAACAAAAAUUGAAUAUAAAUUUUUAUAAAAAUACACUUCAAGAGAUUAAAUUGAAUAUGUAAUCUAGCACCAGAUUUUUUUAAAUUUUAAUCUUUUGCAAGGAUUCAUGUUAAAAAAACCUCUUGAUUUGACCCGGAAAUUCUAGAGAUUUGUGUCGUAUAUAAACCCAGCAAAACCCAGAAUUCUAAGUAUCCAGAAGAACCCAGCAACAAGAGCUAGAACAGCAAUGGCUCUUCUAGCACUUGUGUUUGAGCAGCUGCAGAAAAAUGUCUUUCUUCUUCCUCUUCUCGUCCUUUCUGCGUUCAUUCUCUUUUCGUUUACUAGAUCAUCGUCCAAUGGCGAUGAGAAACGCAAACUCAAGUUACCACCUUCCCCGCCAAGGUUGCCAUUGAUUGGAAACCUUCACCAGUUAGGCACAUUCCCGCACCUUUCUCUCCAUGCUCUCUCGAAAAAGUAUGGCAAUUUAAUGCUAGUGCAUUUUGGGAAAGUUUCGACUCUGAUUGUUUCGUCUGCAGAGAUGGCCAAGGAGGUGAUGA
rnacentral:lncRNA from 1 species